rnacentral:rRNA from 1 species
UACGAAGGGUGCAAGCGUUACUCGGAAUUACUGGGCGUAAAGGGUGCGUAGGUGGUUUGUUAAGUCUGCUGUGAAAUCCCCGGGCUCAACCUGGGAAUGGCAGUGGAUACUGGCGAGCUAGAGUGCGGUAGAGGGUAGUGGAAUUCCCGGUGUAGCAGUGAAAUGCGUAGAGAUCUGGAGGAACACCAGUGGCGAAGGCGGCUACCUGGACCAGCACUGACACUGAAGCGCGAAAGCGUGGGGAGCAAACAGG